GGUAAAGUACCCAAGUUGGACAAAGGGAGCAGACUGUAAAUCUGUCGCUUUUAGCUUCGAAGGUUCGAAUCCUUCCUUUACCACCA
rnacentral:tRNA from 1 species